UUAUUUCUUUGUAAAGCAUCUAGUAAACCUGUUUGUUGUCCAUCGAGGAAUUCUUUCAAGUUGUUUAUUAUGCACUUCUUAUGAUCCCAGAUGUUCUGAAGUUUCCAUUUCUUAAUUGUUUAGGUAGUUAGGCCUAGUGCUCAGUGUGUUUAACAUUCUAGCUCCAGAACUUCAUGCUGCUAUAAUCGAUAUAUCCUCGCUUCAUUGAGUCCUUGUGACUUUUGGAUCUCUAGGUGGAGAAUUGCAGUCUGCUUGCAGAGUUUCAUGAUGAAUUUUCAAGUUGUGCGGGACAUACAUGCCUAAAUUUAUUUCUAUGGAAUAGUUUCUGAAUCCAUCAUGCAUCGAGGGGUUCUUACUGAUGACAUGGCAUUUGCAAGGUUUAUAUUCAAAAGUGCUGCGGGCAUAAUGCAAGAUGGAGCUUUUAAUUUAUUAAGCUUUUGCGGCAUGUGGCACUGGCACGCAGAUGGCCUUUAAGGUUUAAUAGUUGAUUUGCCCCUGCCUUUAGGACAGAUAUUGCAGAGCGGCAUGUUGGAAUUUCUAAGGCUGCAGAACAGUUUGCUGUUCUUUGUGUGGUAAAAACUGCAAUAUGCGUAAAUGCUUGUGGCUCUUAGAACUUGGGACAUUUUUUUACACUAGGACGUAUUCAGAUGCAUUCGCAGGAACAGACAAUGUUCCAAUCCAGAGGAGCUGUACUAUAGUGUUUCGGCAAGUCUGUUGUGGUGGCUUCUGGAAUUCAUGGGCUUGUACAAGCUUGUUUGUAGCGUCCUAGUUGACCUGUUAUUAGCUCUUCAUUUUUUAGUAUUUCCUUCUGCUAGUCUUUUGUAAUCCUUAUAAUGAUGCAUGUACUUCCUCCGCCUCACGAAGAAUGCAAGUGAAGGACUCGAAAUUGGUCCAACAUAGAACGCAAUUGUUGCUUUUACAUCAGCUUAUGGGACCCAAUUAAUUGUGCUCUUUACUUUAAACUUCUCGAUUCACAAUUAAUUGUAGUAGGUUACAGAAACAUCAUAUUGUGACACCCGAUCUAAUUUAGUGGUCCAGUAGUGGCCUAUUAGCGUUAUAUGCGCAUGUGUUAGUACCACAUUGCAAAGGUUUAUAAGUUAGCUCUAUGCCUCUACCCUUACUCAACUACCAACAUGGUACUAAACAUACGCACAUACAACACUCAUGAGCCACUACUCGACCACCAAAUUGGAUCGGGUAUCACAUGCCUCCCAAAAAAAAAGAAUUUGGCUUUGGAGGACGACAUGUUACACAUCUACAUAUGCAUGUGAUCCAUUCCUAAUAGGGCUACCAAGUCAUUUUCCUUCGUCAUUAAUCCGUCUUAAGAUGCCUAGAAUUCCAUUGUUUAUGGGAACUAGGAAGUGUGGCUAUGAAGAAGAAGGGCCUAUAAUGCCGUACACCAACCUUGGAAACGGGGGAUGUUCCUAGAAGUAUGAUACUGUUUGCAAUAAGUGGAUUUUGUAUUGAUUAAAUCGUAUAUCCAUGGUAAAUAAUCAUAUCACACCAACUCCACAGGCAUAGAACCAUAUGAACGAAGCUGCAAACAGUUGGGAGCGAGAGUUCACCUGACGGGUACUGAGACUAGUAGAUGGCCUGCAAACUGGACGCUGCAAGUCAGGUUUCCAGUUCCAACUGUUUGGUCUUAAACCUGCCAAAAAAGAAGAUGUUUUAGCCAUGUAUAUUGUAUACUGCAAGUGGAAUAUGUUCAAAGACUAUUAGAGAAUUGAGCUUUAGUCCCAGUUGGUAGGGUUCAAAGGUCCCGAAAAUCCAUCCGAGAUUAAUUUUUUGAGACAAGGGAGUCCUUUAGUUUCAGAAAAAAAUAAAAAAAAGGCCACGUGGCCGGCCGGCCGCCACCCGCCUCGGCUCGUGCCCACACCCCCACCCGCCCGCCGCUUCACGCCUGUGCCUCCGCUUGCCCGCCGCUUGCCCGCCCGCGCCCGCGCCGCCUGCUGCUUGGCCUCCCGCGCCUCCGCUCGUUGCUGGGCCGCCCACGCCCGCGCUGCGCGCCGCCUCCGCUCGUCGCUCGGCCGCUCCCCCGCGCGCCAGCCCUGCCCUCGCCCCGCUGCCACUCCUCACUCCAUUUUUUAAUUGUUUAGGUAGUUAGGCCUAGUGCUCAGUGUGUUCAACAUUCUAGCUCCAGAACUUCAUGCUGCUAUAAUCGAUAUAUCCUCGCUUCAUUGAGUCCUUGUGACUUUUGGAUCUCUAGGUGGAGAAUUGCAGUCUGCUUGCAGAGUUUCAUGAUGAAUUUUCAAGUUGUGCGGGACAUACAUGCCUAAAUUUAUUUCUAUGGAAUAGUUUCUGAAUCCAUCAUGCAUCGAGGGGUUCUUACUGAUGACAUGGCAUUUGAAAGGUUUAUAUUCAAAAGUGCUGCGGGCAUAAUG
rnacentral:lncRNA from 1 species